CUCAUGGGCCAGCCCUGUGGUGCAUGUCAGGUCCCCAGCUGAUUUGGACACAGACCCUUUGAGGACCGCACUGUUUCCGGGGACUACAUGUACAGAAAUGGAGAGCUACAAUGGAGCACAGAAAGAAGGGAGGCACACCGACUGGAUGUUUGUUGAAAAGAAGUGACUUUAAGUAAGGAGACGCAUCAGAUACAGCUCAUGGCACAGAGCCUGCCACAGAGCGAGCUGAGUCAAGGGCUCAGCUCACGGCAGGGCCCUGGCCCGGAACAGAGCUCAGUACCCGGUAGGUGCUCGAGAGAGAAGUCAGUGUCCAGAACCCAGCGAAGGAUCUGGGGCUGUGAGGGCACUUGGGCCUGGCGGAGCUGUCAGAUCAUACCUGGGCAUCCCAUCUCACCCCUCCCCACACCUGAGAGCUGGAUGCCCUCCCGACCUCACCCUCAUACAGAGGUGGAAACACGGCGCCCAGAGAGGUCCGAUGGCGGGAGGGCUGCGUACGAUGCCCCGGAAGCCUUGCCUAAAGGGGAAAUUGCCAUGAAAUCACACACCCCGUGGCCAUCGGCCGCCUCCUCAUUUGUGGCUUGAUUUACAGCAUCGCGGGACCGUUGGAAUUUCUGCCUCGAGACCAUCUGGCCUAAUUACCCCCAUGGCUGGCACAGGGCCUGAAGCUGUUCUUGAAUGAGUCAAAGGAGCUUGUGGGUCCUCAGAAGACCCCUCUCCCAUGCCACCCAGAAAUUUCAGCCUCCUUCCAGGCACCGUCAGCAUUGGCUGGAACAAGUGUCAGGUGCACCAGGCUUGGAGAAAACAGCUGGUUCUUUGCAUCCAGGAAACAAACAAACAAACAAACUUCUUUUGCCCUGAGCUGGCAGGCAGUCCAGGGUGGGUGGCAAAGCGUGUCUUUAUUGUUCUGAUUCUUGUCUAUAAAGGAGGAGGGAACAAAGGGAGCUACUGGUCCCUGACAACACCUCUUAUUUCCUGAGAGCCUACUGUGUGCCAGGCUCUUCCUACCUGCUGAGAGAUCCCUCCAGGCCCCUGGCCCCCUUUGUCAGGUGAGGAAACCGAGGCUCUGAGAGGACCAGCGAGUCUCCCAAGGCCGCUGACCAAGGAUGCUGCAGAGGCAGGAUUCGAACCUGAUUCUGUCAUGAAGCUCAGCUGUGCCCUUUUCUCCGUCCCGAGUGUUGCUUCACUUCUCUGUCUGGCUGUUUGCCUCCACUGUCCUGGCUUAAGAGAAACUCUGAGGGGCAGUGGGAGGGGCCUUGGCCGGGGGGCGUGGGUUUGGAGGAGGUAACUCAGGGUGAAAGGUCAGCAAUAACCAAUGUUUGGAGGCUAAACCGCCAAGACCCUCAGAAGAGGGGGAGCAAUGCUGACCAGGAGCUGGGGUACGUGCAGGGGAGCAAGAGGACCGGGAUGACGGUUUGGGGUUCUUUGUUCGGGGCCCUCAGGAGCAGACCUUGAGGCAAGGAUUCAGUGCAAAUGGUUUAUUACAGAGGUGAGGUCAGCAGAAUAAUGGCAGAAUAAUGGCCCCCAACAGUGUCCACUUCCUGACCCCCCAAACCCGUGAAUCUGUUACCUUAUGUGGCCAAAGGGACUUUGUAGGUGUGAUUAAGGUUAUGGACUUUGAGAUGGGGAGGUCAUCCUGGAUUGCCUGGCCAACAAUCUAAUCACAUGCAUCCUUAAGUGGAAGAGGGAGGCAGAGGAAUGGCUCCGAGAGACACAUGUGAGGAGGACUUGACCCACCCUCCCUGGCUUUGAAGAUGGUGGGAGGGAUCCGAGAGCCAAGGAACACAGGCAGCCCCGGAAAGCUGGAAAAAGCAAGAAAUAGAUUCUCCCCAGAGAUGCCAGAAAGGAGCGCAGCCCUGCCUACCCCUUGACUUAGCCCGGAGCCCCCGUGUCAGACUCUGACCUCCAGAACUGUACGAGAAUAAACGUGUGUUGUUUAAGCUGCUAGGUUUGGGGUCAUUUGUUACAGCAGCGACAGGAAACUAACGCAGUGAUGCUAGGAAAUGCUGGCAGCGGAGUAGGCAGAGAACGGAGGUGGAAGAGAAGGCAGCCAGUAUAGGGCCCCUGGAGCUCAAAUCAAAUCAGUGGCCCGGGGGCCCCUGGAGCUCCGUCCACAUGCCCCAGAGUCACCCCACCUGAGGGGCCAGGGCUCCUGGUGAGAGUGGAAGGACGUGGGGAGGAGGCAUUGAUUCUGGCAGCCAGAGAAAGCCCUCAGGAGGAGUUGCAGUUGCUGGAACCUGGACAUGGGUGAAAGAGGCCUCCACAGCACCCACGCAGGAGCGCGCAGGGACCAGACGGUGGAGUCCAGGCCUUGGUGUGACUCUCUCAUUGAGUUCAGGGAUCCACAAUCUUUCUAAGAUGUUGAUCCAAGA